AGAGUUUGAUCCUGGCUCAGGACGAACGCUGGCGGCACGCUUAACACAUGCAAGUCGAACGAGAGAAGAGGAGCUUGCUUUUCUGAUCUAGUGGCGGACGGGUGAGUAACACGUGAGCAAUCUGCCUUUCAGAGGGGGAUACCGAUUGGAAACGAUCGUUAAUACCGCAUAACAUAAUUGAACCGCAUGAUUUGAUUAUCAAAGAUUUAUCGCUGAAAGAUGAGCUCGCGUCUGAUUAGCUAGUUGGUAAGGUAACGGCUUACCAAGGCGACGAUCAGUAGCCGGACUGAGAGGUUGAUCGGCCACAUUGGGACUGAGACACGGCCCAGACUCCUACGGGAGGCAGCAGUGGGGAAUAUUGCACAAUGGAGGAAACUCUGAUGCAGCGAUGCCGCGUGAGGGAAGAAGGUUUUAGGAUUGUAAACCUCUGUCUUCAGGGACGAAAAAAGACGGUACCUGAGGAGGAAGCUCCGGCUAACUACGUGCCAGCAGCCGCGGUAAUACGUAGGGAGCGAGCGUUGUCCGGAAUUACUGGGUGUAAAGGGAGCGUAGGCGGGAUCGCAAGUCAGAUGUGAAAACUAUGGGCUUAACCCAUAAACUGCAUUUGAAACUGUGGUUCUUGAGUGAAGUAGAGGUAAGCGGAAUUCCUAGUGUAGCGGUGAAAUGCGUAGAUAUUAGGAGGAACAUCAGUGGCGAAGGCGGCUUACUGGGCUUUAACUGACGCUGAGGCUCGAAAGCGUGGGGAGCAAACAGGAUUAGAUACCCUGGUAGUCCACGCCGUAAACGAUGAUUACUAGGUGUGGGGGGACUGACCCCUUCCGUGCCGCAGCAAACGCAAUAAGUAAUCCACCUGGGGAGUACGACCGCAAGGUUGAAACUCAAAGGAAUUGACGGGGGCCCGCACAAGCAGUGGAGUAUGUGGAUUAAUUCGAAGCAACGCGAAGAACCUUACCAGGUCUUGACAUCGUAUGCAUAGCUCAGAGAUGAGUGAAAUCUCUUCGGAGACAUAUAGACAGGUGGUGCAUGGUUGUCGUCAGCUCGUGUCGUGAGAUGUUGGGUUAAGUCCCGCAACGAGCACAACCCUUACUGUUAGUUGCUACGCAAGAGCACUCUAGCAGGACUGCCGUUGACAAAACGGAGGAAGGUGGGGAUGACGUCAAAUCAUCAUGCCCCUUAUGACCUGGGCCUCACACGUACUACAAUGGCUGUCAACAGAGGGAAGCAAAGCCGCGAGGUGGAGCGAACCCCUAAAAGCAGUCUUAGUUCGGAUUGUAGGCUGCAACCCGCCUACAUGAAGUCGGAAUUGCUAGUAAUCGCAGAUCAGCAUGCUGCGGUGAAUACGUUCCCGGGCCUUGUACACACCGCCCGUCACGCCAUGGGAGUCGGUAACACCCGAAGCCUGUAGUCUAACCGCAAGGAGGACGCAGUCGAAGGUGGGAUUGAUGACUGGGGUGAAGUCGUAACAAGGUA
rnacentral:rRNA from 1 species